rnacentral:rRNA from 1 species
AGUGAACGCUGGCGGUAGGCCUAACACAUGCAAGUCGAACGGCAGCACAGUAAGAGCUUGCUCUUACGGGUGGCGAGUGGCGGACGGGUGAGGAAUACAUCGGAAUCUACUUUUUCGUGGGGGAUAACGUAGGGAAACUUACGCUAAUACCGCAUACGACCUACGGGUGAAAGCAGGGGAUCUUCGGACCUUGCGCGAUUGAAUGAGCCGAUGUCGGAUUAGCUAGUUGGCGGGGUAAAGGCCCACCAAGGCGACGAUCCGUAGCUGGUCUGAGAGGAUGAUCAGCCACACUGGAACUGAGACACGGUCCAGACUCCUACGGGAGGCAGCAGUGGGGAAUAUUGGGCAAUGGGCGCAAGCCUGAUCCAGCCAUACCGCGUGGGUGAUGAAGGCCUUCGGGUUGUAAAGCCCUUUUGUUGGGAAAGAACAGCAGCAGGUUAAUACCCCGCUGUUCUGACGGUACCCAAAGAAUAAGCCCCGGCUAACUUCGUG